rnacentral:rRNA from 1 species
UACGUAGGGUGCGAGCGUUAAUCGGAAUUACUGGGCGUAAAGCGUGCGCAGGCGGUUGGCCGUGUCCGAUGUGAAAGCCCCGGGCUUAACCUGGGAAUGGCAUUGGAAACUGGCUGGCUGGAGUGUGGCAGAGGGGGGUGGAAUUCCACGUGUAGCAGUGAAAUGCGUAGAGAUGUGGAGGAACACCGAUGGCGAAGGCGGCCUGCUGGGCAGUAGCUGACGCUGAGGCGCGACAGCGUGGGGAGCAAACAGG